rnacentral:rRNA from 1 species
AUACGAAGGGUGCAAGCGUUAAUCGGAAUUACUGGGCGUAAAGCGCGCGAAGGUGGUUUUGUAAGUUGGAGGUGAAAGCACCGGGCUCAACCUGGGAAUUGCCUCCAAAACUGCAUGACUAGAGUACGGUAGAGGGUAGUUGAAUUUCCUGUGUAGCGGUGAAAUGCGUAGAUAUAGGAAGGAACACCAGAGGCGAAAGCGACUACCUGGACUGAUACUGACACUGAGGGGCGAAAGCGUGGGGAGCAAACAGGAUUAGAUACCCUGGUAGUCCACGCCGUAAACGAUGUCAACUAGCCGUUGGGAUCCUUGAGAUCUUAGUGGCGCAGCUAACGCAUUAAGUUGACCGCCUGGGGAGUACGGCCGCAAGGUUAAAACUCAAAUGAAUUGACGGGG